rnacentral:rRNA from 1 species
GACGAGGGGUCCUAGCGUUGUUCGGAAUCACUGGGCGUAAAGCGUAUGUAGGCGGGCUUCUAAGUCAGGUGUGAAAUCCCACGGCUCAACCGUGGAAUUGCAUUUGAAACUGGAAGUCUUGAGUGUGGGAGAGAUUGGUAGAAUACCUGGUGUAGUGGUGAAAUACGUAGAUAUCAGGUGGAAUACCGGUGGCGAAGGCGGCCAAUUGGCCCAACACUGACGCUGAGAUACGAAAGCGUGGGGAUCAAACAGG